rnacentral:rRNA from 1 species
CUUGUAGGCGGUUUGUCGCGUCUGCUGUGAAAAUCCGGGGCUUAACUCUGGACGUGCAGUGGGUACGGGCAGGCUAGAGUGUGGUAGGGGAGACUGGAAUUCCUGGUGUAGCGGUGAAAUGCGCAGAUAUCAGGAGGAACACCGAUGGCGAAGGCAGGUCUCUGGGCCAUUACUGACGCUGAGAAGCGAAAGCAUGGGUAGCGAACA